GGCCCGGGAGCGCAUGGCGCGCAUCUGCUUUCUAUUAACGUGUAUGUUUGGAAGUCUCAUAUAUUGCAGACCCGCCCGUUCGACUCGGGCUCGGGCCA